GGACCGUUAGCUCAGUCGGAUAGAGCGAGUGAUUCCUAAUCACUAGGCCACAGGUUCGAAUCCUGUACGGUCCACCA
rnacentral:tRNA from 1 species